UACGUAGGGUGCAGGCGUUAAUCGGAAUUACUGGGCGUAAAGCGUGCGCAGGCGGUUUGCUAAGACAGGUGUGAAAUCCCCGGGCUUAACCUGGGAACUGCGCUUGUAACUGGCAAGCUAGAGUGUGGCAGAGGGGGGGUGGAAUUCCACGUGUAGCAGUGAAAUGCGUAGAGAUGUGGAGGAACACCGAUGGCGAAGGCAGCCCCCUGGGCUAACACGUGACGCUCAUGCACGAAAGCGUA
rnacentral:rRNA from 1 species